AGAGUUUGAUCCUGGCUCAGGACGAACGCUGGCGGCGUGCUUAACASAUGCAAGUCGAACGAAGAGCGAUGGAAGCUUGCUUCUAUCAAUCUUAGUGGCGAACGGGUGAGUAACGSGUARUCAACCUGCCCUUMAGAGGGGGACAACAGUUGGAAACGACUGCUAAUACCGCAUACGAUCURACCUCGGCAUCGAGGAUGGAUGAAAGGUGGCCUCUAUUUAUAAGCUAUCACUGAAGGAGGGGAUUGCGUCUGAUUAGCUAGUUGGAGGGGUAACGGCCCACCAAGGCGAUGAUCAGUAGCCGGUCUGAGAGGAUGAACGGCCACAUUGGGACUGAGACACGGCCCAGACUCCUACGGGAGGCAGCAGUGGGGAAUCUUCCGCAAUGGACGAAAGUCUGACGGAGCAACGCCGCGUGAGUGAUGACGGCCUUCGGGUUGUAAAGCUCUGUUAAUCGGGACGAAAGGCCUUCUUGCGAAUAGUKAGAAGGAUUGACGGUACCGGAAUAGAAAGCCACGGCUAACUACGUGCCAGCAGCCGCGGUAAU
rnacentral:rRNA from 1 species